rnacentral:rRNA from 1 species
GUGUUCGUUCACACUAGCACUAGUGCACCGAAUCCCUUAAAAACUCCGCAGUUAAGCGUUCUUGGGUGAGAGUAGUAAUAAGUUGGGUGAACGCUUGGGAAGUCUGGAGAUUCUGGCCAAC